UACGGGGGGGGCAAGCGUUGUUCGGAAUUACUGGGCGUAAAGGGCGCGUAGGCGGCUCGUCAAGUCGGGCGUGAAAUCUCCAGGCUUAACCUGGAAAAGUCGUUCGAUACUGUUGAGCUAGAGUGUGGAAGAGGCUACUGGAAUUCCGUGUGUAGCGGUGAAAUGCGUAGAUAUCUGGAGGAACACCGAUGGCGAAGGCAGCCCCCUGGGCUAACACUGACGCUCAUGCACGAAAGCGUGGGGAGCAAACAGG
rnacentral:rRNA from 1 species